rnacentral:rRNA from 1 species
UACGUAGGUGGCAAGCGUUGUCCGGAUUUAUUGGGCUUAAAGGGUGCGUAGGCGGUUCCAUAAGUCAGUGGUGAAAUACGGCAGCUCAACUGUCGAGGUGCCAUUGAUAAUUCGGAACUUGAGUACUGAUGAGGUAGGCGGAAUUGACGGUGUAGCGGUGAAAUGCUUAGAUAUCGUCAAGAACACCGAUAGCGAAGGCAGCUUACUAAGGAGUAACUGACGCUGAGGCACGAAAGUGCGGGGAUCAAACAGG